CACUAGUCGAGUCGGCCUGCGCGGAAGAUGUAACGGGGCUAAACUAUGUACCGAAGCUGCGGGCUUGCACUACGUGCAAGCGGUAGAGGAGCGUUCUGUAAGCCGAUGAAGGUCUGUUGAGAAGCAGGCUGGAGGUAUCAGAAGUGCGAAUGCUGACAUGAGUAACGAUAAGGGGAGUGAAAAACUCCCCCGCCGGAAGACCAAGGUUUCCUGCGCAACGUUAAUCGGCGCAGGGUGAGUCGGCCCCUAAGGCGAGGCAGAAAUGCGUAGUCGAUGGGAAAUUGGUUAAUAUUCCAAUACCUCUUUAGAGUGCGAUGGGGGGACGGAGAAGGCUAGGCCAGCGCGGCGACGGUUGUCCGCGUUUAAGCCGGUAGGCUUGCAUCUUAGGUAAAUCCGGGAUGCUCUAUGCCGAGACGUGAUGACGAAGAUUCUACGGAAUCGAAGUGGUCGAUGCCAUGCUUCCAGGAAAAGCCUCUAAGCUUCAGCUCUAAAGAGACCGUACCCCAAACCGACACAGGUGGUCAGGUAGAGAAUACUAAGGCGCUUGAGAGAACUCGGGUGAAGGAACUAGGCAAAAUGGCACCGUAACUUCGGGAGAAGGUGCGCCGGUUGGAGUGAAGGGUUUACCCCGUAAGCUCCGACUGGUCGAAGAUACCAGGUGGCUGCAACUGUUUACUAAAAACAUAGCACUGUGCAAACACGUAAGUGGACGUAUACGGUGUGACGCCUGCCCGGUGCCGGAAGGUUAAUUGAUGGGGUUAGCUUAUGCGAAGCUCUUGAUCGAAGCCCCGGUAAACGGCGGCCGUAACUAUAACGGUCCUAAGGUAGCGAAAUUCCUUGUCGGGUAAGUUCCGACCUGCACGAAUGGCGUAAUGAUGGCCACGCUGUCUCCACCCGAGACUCAGUGAAAUUGAAAUCGCAGUGAAGAUGCUGUGUAUCCGCGGCUAGACGGAAAGACCCCGUGAACCUUUACUACAGCUUCACAGUGGACUUUGAUAUGACUUGUGUAGGAUAGCUGGGAGGCUUUGAAACGUGGACGCCAGUUCACGUGGAGCCAAUCUUGAAAUACCAGCCUGGUCAUGUUGAGGUUCUAACUCAGUUCCCUUAGCGGGAUCGAGGACAUUGUGUGGUGGGUAGUUUGACUGGGGCGGUCUCCUCCCAAAGAGUAACGGAGGAGCACGAAGGUACCCUCAGCACGGUCGGACAUCGUGCAAUGAGUGCAAGCGCAUAAGGGUGCUUAACUGCGAGACUGACACGUCGAGCAGGUACGAAAGUAGGUGCUAGUGAUCCGGUGGUUCUGUAUGGAAGGGCCAUCGCUCAACGGAUAAAAGGUACUCCGGGGAUAACAGGCUGAUACCGCCCAAGAGUUCACAUCGACGGCGGUGUUUGGCACCUCGAUGUCGGCUCAUCACAUCCUGGGGCUGAAGCCGGUCCCAAGGGUAUGGCUGUUCGCCAUUUAAAGUGGUACGCGAGCUGGGUUUAGAACGUCGUGAGACAGUUCGGUCCCUAUCUGCCGUGGACGUUGGAGACUUGAGAAGAGCUGCUCCUAGUACGAGAGGACCGGAGUGGACGAACCUCUGGUGUUCGGGUUGUCAUGCCAAUGGCAUUGCCCGGUAGCUAUGUUCGGACAGGAUAACCGCUGAAAGCAUCUAAGCGGGAAGCCCCCUUCAAGAUGAGGUCUCACUGAAGCCUUGAGCUUCCUAAAGGGCCCUUGAAGACUACAAGGUUGAUAGGUCAGGUGUGUAAGCGUUGUGAGGCGUUGAGCUAACUGAUACUAAUGGCCCGUGAGGCUUGACCAU
rnacentral:ncRNA from 1 species